rnacentral:rRNA from 1 species
CCUACGGGAGGCAGCAGUGGGGAAUAUUGCACAAUGGGGGAAACCCUGAUGCAGCGACGCCGCGUGAGUGAAGAAGUAUUUCGGUACGGAAAGCUCUAUCAGCAGGGAAGAAAAUGACGGUACCUGACUAAGAAGCCCCGGAUAACUACGUGCCAGGCGCCGCGGUAAUACGUAGGGGGCAAGCGUUAUCCGGAUUUACUGGGUGUAAAGGGAGCGUAGACGGCAGCUCAAGUAUGGAGUGAAAUCCGAUGGCUUAAACCUGGAACUGCAUUGGAAACUGGGCGGCUUGAGUGCAGGAGAGGUAAGCGGAAUUCCUAGUGUAGCGGUGAAAUGCGUAGAUAUUAGGAGGAACACCAGUGGCGAAGGCGGCUUACUGGACUGUAACUGACGUUGAGGCUCGAAGGCGUGGGGAGCAAACAGGAUUAGAUACCCUUGUAGUC